AGUUUGAUCCUGGCUCAGACCGAACGCUGGCGGCCUGUAUCAUACAUGUCCGUCAAACGGAAGAAUUGCUACCUUGCUAAUAAUUCUCUCGUGCCGCACGGCUGACUAACACGUGAGUAACCUGCCCCCUCUAGCGCGAUAGCCCCCGUAAACUGGUAGUAAUACCGCGUAUUAUCUGAGGAUUCAAGCAACAAUGCGCGUUGGGGAUGGGCUCGCGCUCCCACUACUUCCUGGUGAGGUAACGGCUCACCCUCGCUAUAACGGGCAGCCGGUCUGAGAGGAUGUCCGGCCACACUGCAACUGAGACACGGUCCAGACACCUACGGAUGGCAGCUGUCGACAAUCAUUCACCAUGGGGGACACCCUGAUGGUGCGACGCCGCGUGGGGGAAUGAAGGUCUUCGGAUUAUGAACCCCUGUCAUGUGGGACCUCAUUAUGCAGAUAGUACCACCACAUGAACAGACGGCUGACUCUGUGCCCGCAGCCGCGGUAAUACAGAGGUCUCGAGCGUUGUUCCGAAUCACUGGGCGUAAAGCGUGCGUACGCGGUUUCGUAAGUCGUGUGUGACACGCGGGGGCUCAACCCCCGGACUGCACAUGAUACUGCGAGACUAGAGUAAUGUAUGUGGAACCGGAAUUCUCGGUGUACCACUGCAAUGCGCAUAUAUCGAGAGGAACUCUCGUGUCGAGUGCCUGCUCCUGGACAUUCACUGACGCUGACGCUCGAAGCCCGGGAGCGAACGGAUCACUACGCCUGUAGUCCUGCAGUAAUCGUGCCUCUUGCGUGCAGUGAAU
rnacentral:rRNA from 1 species